GGCACAUAGUAAGAGCUUAACAAAUGCCAUCAUUAUUAUUAUUAUUAUUUCCAGAGAGACUCCGCUUCUCCCACUUGCCAAUUUCUAGAUCUGAAGUCCAGAGGGUCAGUGGAAAUGCUGAAGGGGCCUCGUGAGCUGGACCGGCAGCUGACCAGUGACUCACUUGAAACCCUCAAACCAAGAUCUCGGAAGUGCAAUGCGACGACGAUGAUGUACCAACAUCUGGUGCUGCCACUCCAGGACUACUGAGUCUCACUCCUAAAGGAACUUGGCAACUAAGCCAAGGGCAAGAAGAAGUCUGGAUCUAAAUUUG
rnacentral:lncRNA from 1 species